UUUGAAGGUGCUUAACUGCAUUUUUCUUACACACGUGUUUUUCUUUUUUUUGAAACAACUUUGCUUUGGUGGGCGCGCGCUCGCCCGCCAGAGACUAAACUCAACCAAACUUUUUUACUUCUACGUCAACCAAAUACACCAAUAGUCAAAACUUUCAACAACGGAUCUCUUGGUUCUCGCAUCGAUGAAGAACGCAGCGAAAUGCGAUAAGUAAUAUGAAUUGCAGAUAUUCGUGAAUCAUCGAAUCUUUGAACGCACAUUGCGCCCUUUGGUAUUCCAAAGGGCAUGCCUGUUUGAGCGUCAUUUCUCCCUCAAACCCCCUCUCUCCUUUGCGGGGUGGGUUUGGUGUUGAGCGAUACGCAGGGUUUGCUUGAAAGAAAGGCGGAGUAUAAACUAAUGGAUAGGUUUUUUUUUCCACUCAUUGGUGAUCUCCAAAACUCUUCCAAAUUCGACCUCAAAUCAGGUAGGACUACCC
rnacentral:rRNA from 1 species